CAAAUACUUACUUGUUUGUAUCCAUCUCCAACUCCACCAGUUUCAUUUGCAUUUUCCUGAUGCCACACUGGGGAUGGAUAGUCAUUUUUUUUCUCUUACCACAUAACCUUAAUAAUGUGUGUUUUGAUGUAUCAUGCAGGGCCUCUGCCAACUUGUAAACUCUUCAAUACUUGAAGAGCUCUCGGCAUUCACCCACUGUGCGAGCGCCGUGGCCUUGGGUGGUAUCUCCUCCAUGUACAAAAUACGGGAUCUGCCUUGGAGCUAGUUGUACUAUCAUAGCUUUGGAGAAACUCUCUCCCUUCUCACAAAAGAAGAAGAAAA